UACGUAGGGUGCAAGCGUUGUCCGGAAUUAUUGGGCGUAAAGAGCUCGUAGGCGGUUUGUCGCGUCGUGUGUGAAAUCUCAGGGCUCAACUCUGACAUUGCAUACGAUACGGGCAGGCUUGAGUUCGGUAGGGGAGACUGGAAUUCCUGGUGUAGCGGUGAAAUGCGCAGAUAUCAGGAGGAACACCGGUGGCGAAGGCGGGUCUCUGGGUAGUAACUGACGCUGAGGAACGAAAGCGUGGGUAGCGAACAGG
rnacentral:rRNA from 1 species